rnacentral:rRNA from 1 species
AACGAACGCUGGCGGCGCGCUUAACACAUGCAAGUCGAACGAGAAGGCGUAGCAAUACGCUUGUAAAGUGGCGAACGGGUGAGGAAUACAUGGGUAACCUACCCUCGAGUGGGGGAUAACCCGCCGAAAGGCGGGCUAAUACCGCGUACGCUUCCGAUCUUGCGGGAUCGGAAGGAAAGCUGUCCCUUGGGGAUGGCGCUCAAGGAUGGGCUCAUGUCCUAUCAGCUUGUUGGUAGGGAACGGCCUACCAAGGCAUCGACGGGUAGCUGGUCUGAGAGGACGAUCAGCCACACUGGCACUGCGACACGGGCCAGACUCCUACGGGAGGCAGCAGUGAGGAAUAUUGCGCAAUGGGCGAAAGCCUGACGCAGCGACGCCGCGUGGGGGAUGAAGGUCUUCGGAUUGUAAACCCCUUUCGGGUGGGAAGACGGCCCUAGACACUAGGGCGGACGGUACCGCCAGAGCAGCCACGGCUAACUUCGUGCCAGCCGCCGCGGUAA